AGCGCUACUGCGCCGCCGGAGUCCACCCGCCAGCCUUCGCUGCAGCCGGGUCCCUGAUCCAGAAGCUAAACCUAAAAAUGUGGGCAGUGGUUGCGGCGGAGCAGUCGCCUUUUAUCUCGCCGACUAGAGAACAAGCUGAUUCUCGUACUCUUAUACAUCGCGUUGUUCUCGAGAAGUCAAAUUUCCCACGAAUAAUAGAGAAGUCCUUUAAGCAACGCGACAGUCUAUUACCUUAAGCUAAAUUUAAAAAUCCCAUCGAUGCUUCUUUAAAGGGUUCUCCUUAAGAUCCAGCCCUCCGCAGGAAGAGCGGGUUAGAAAACACAUCAGAAAACAGGUUGUCGAUUUCCUGGGCACGCGCUACAGUGGCGAUGGAUAUCUGUUGAUGGGAGAAAAUUUCGGAGCUGAUUCUUUUCCUCUAAUCCGAACCUGUCAGAAAAUUCCAAGUCAACCAAGCUCGCCUAAGUGAGAACAAAGACCAGCUGCCUGCCUGCCUGCCUCCCUGCCGGAAGCGCAGGUAUUCUCAGGCCCUUGUGAGGUUGAACGCUUCCUAAUAUCCAGUUAAUGUAUAAAGAUGACUUUCUAUA
rnacentral:lncRNA from 1 species